UUCAGGGAAGGUGGUUGGGCUUGCUAAAAUCUGUCCCAUGGGAUGUGAAAAUAUACUUCGGGCCUUAACUGUUGCUUGGCCUCCUCAGAAGCCACAGGAAGGCUCUGCAGUGUCCCUGACUCCUGGGUGACCUGUCGAUCCUCCUCCUCCUCAGUCAGCCUAUUUGUGAAUCCUCUAAAUAUAUUCGAAGCUAUGACCAGACUUGCAUUUGAGGCUGCAGGGCCAAGCUUGGCCAGCAUAAUUAAAUGCGAGCCUGGUUUUCUUUGCAGUUAAGCAGUUGGCAGCAAUUGUUAGGACCCCGUGCUGCAUUCCCUUCCCCCCCACUAACCCCUCCCUCGCCCCAGCUGGGGUCCCAGACGGCCUUUCUUUUCGGGGGGGGGUUGGGUUGGGAGAGAGGCCUCUUGUUCAUUGUGGGUGCCGUUCCUCUCUCGACCUGUAGGGGGCGAUGAAGGGGAAGGGGAGCGGAGGAGGACUACCCCCUGCCCGGGAGUGCUGAGUCGGAAGCAGCCCCCGCGGAGGAGCCCCGGGGGUGAGGCGGCCGACCACGCGCCUCCCUCCCCCAUUUGCGGCCCUCCCAGCCCCACCAGGAGGCAGGAAGGUUCCUCUACUGCCCGACCCUCAUCGUGGUCGCCGCCGUGGUCGUCGAGCCCAGUGGCUGCCUGGCCACUGACAAGUCACUCCAAGUCACAACAUCUGUGAAAAUUGGAAUUCCACAUUGAUACCACCUAACUUCCUGAGGUUGUGGCAACCCUCCCAGCCUGCUCUGAGGCACAGAGCACGUGUGGAUCAUCGGCCUCACUGGCAAAUAUUUUCUCACUACACAUUCCUAUCCUGAUGAAAGAAACCAUGCCGUGAGGGGGCGAUGAAGGGGAAGGGGAGCGGAGGAAGACUCCCCCCUCCUUGAGAGUCCUCAGGCGGAAGCAGGCCCCGCGGAGGAGCCCCGGGGUGAGUCGGCCAGCACGUGCCUCCCUCCCUCCAUUGCCGGCCCUCCCCACCCCACCACGGGGCAGGAGGGUUCCUCUGCUGCCCGAUCUGGUCGUGGUCGCCGUCGUGGUCGUCGAGGCCAGUGGCAGGAAGCCUGCGUCUGCCCGUCCGGCCGUCCGGCCGUCUGGCCGUUCGUCCUCCCUCGCUGCCCUGUCCCACCAUCUGAGUCCCGGCUACCGCCCUGACCUCGCAAAAGGUAACGUCUGUUUGAGAUUGACCUUGACCAUUCUCCCCAUGCCUGACAACAGAGAGAGCUUCCUCCUCCUCGUCCUUCUUCUUCCAGAGACUGACAUUGACCAUGACCUUGAUGAUUAUCUGCAGCCCUGAACUCCCAAGAGCUGUCCAUGGGAACAGCUCAGAGACUGACCUUGCACAUCCUCUCCAAGACUGUGUUCCCAGAAGGAGUCUUCUAUCAGACUGACGGCCAUCUUCCCUUUAAACAUCUAAAGUUCUGCCAGCAAAGACUCUCCGUAAAAAUUUGAAGCCCUCCAGCUCCACCUUCUCCCCUGACUGUGUCCUUGAGAGACCCACAUUUGAGAGGUCACCUGACUGAGUUCCCAAAAGGAGUCUUUUAUCACACAGGCUCUGGGCAUCUGCCUUCUGGCAUUCAGAGUCAGGCUGAUCUCAGAGACUGACCUUGCUCAUUCUCUCCAGGCCUAAGCUCCCAAGACAUGUCUCCUCCCAGAGGCUGAGGUUGGCCAUUCCUUCCAGGCACCAACUCCUCAGAGAUCUGAGCCCCCAAGAGGUAUCUCUUCCCAGAGACUGAAGUUGGCUAUUCCCUCCAGGCCCCAGCUCCUGAGAGGCA